rnacentral:lncRNA from 1 species
GCGAAAUAAACAAUUCUCCCCAGAAAACACCGCCCCACUCUUCAGACAGCUCUUCUCUAGGGAGGCUGAGAUGGCAGACAUUUUAACUUUCCACAGUUAAAAUUUUUUUUUAUUUUUAUUUUUGGCUGUGCUGGGUCUUCGUUCCUUUUGCACAGGCUUUUCUCUGUUUGGGGCAAAUGGGGUCUACUCUGUGUUUCGAUGCACCGGCUUCUCUUACUGCUGAGCACAGACUCUAGGCAUGCAGGCUUCACGUAGUUGCAGCUCGCAGGCUCAGUAGUUGGGCCCCAGAGGUUUAGUUGCCCCUCUGCACGCGGAAUCUUCCCAGAUCAGGGAUUGAACCCCUGUUCCUUGCAUUGGCACGUGGAUUCUUACCAAAUCUGCCACAAAACAAAGGGAAGUCUUUGUUUUCACAUGUGCACAUUUCUGAACUCAGGGUAUAUCUGACAAAUGAUGCCCUUUCAUAACUAUUUGGCAGUACUUUCUCUACAUAAAAGAACAGUAAAGUACUACAAUUAAAGGCCUUCUACUCUAUUAAGUGGAGUAGUUCAAAAGCUGGCUCUCAUUGACUCAAGCAGAUCACGUGCCUCUAGCUGGCCAAUCACUGAGACUUUUGUUACACCUUAGUCAAGUGUGUCUCAUUGGCCCAAGAAGAUCACAUGCCUCUGGCUGGCCAAUCACUGUGGCUCUUGUUGUUAGGCCUUAAUCAGGUGCUUCUUUGCUGUUAAGGGUUGGGGGUCUGCAUCCCUUAAGCAGGAGGACCAGCAAAGAAAUGGUGGUUUCCAAGAAGAAAGUCAAAGUGUUGUGGUCAGAAGAGAGACGGUGGAUUCCAGGCAGAAAGAGACAACUGCUGUUUCGUUUUGAGAUUCCAUAAGAAUAUGUCUGUGGAACAAUGGAAGCCUACAAGACAGGCUAGGCUUCCUGGGAAUGGAUUCCACAAGGAAGGAAAUGCCAGCCAAUGGGCGAGUCAUGUCCCCUGCCAGAGCACGUCUCCUCUCGCUAGCACUGCGAUCACACAUGUUUCACAAUCCCCACAUCUGCUCUGCUAGUGGCUUCAGAGUGGGAGUUCCGAAGACAGUCAGAACAACUUGCUGAUGGAGAAAGAAACCGAAUACAGACCUGGCAUGCCGGGAAGUGGGGGUGGGGAAUGACUUUAUCAUCAUCAUUCUGUUUCUCUCUCUUUAGAAGGUCAGGUUGGCUGUGUCAAGGAAAGCCCUCGAAGGUGGUAAUUCUGCCUUUGACUUCAGCCGGUAGACUUGACAUGCACUCCCCAUGGUAGCUGGUUUGUGCUGAACCUGUCACUGCCUCUUCAAAACAUUGCUGGUUUCCAUGGGAACAGAGCAGCACUUACUGAAAGAGCUGCUGGAAAUUUCAAGAUGUCCAAAACUGUCCCUCUAAUGUGUUUUUCUAAGACCUGAUUUGAAAGAGAAACAAUAGCACAACUUGGCAAAGAAGACAAUGGAAGAGGAAUGAUAAUAAGAGUGGCUUGACAGCGUUUGUGGAUCCCAGCAUGCUGUCUUGAUUCUGCCCUUUAGAAAUCAGUCCCAGGGAGAUACUGGCUGAAGCAGAUUCAUGAUCCACGGGCUCCUGACUUCAGACGUGGCUUUGUUAUGGACAGCAAGCCUAUUUGCUGUUUUCAGAGUUUAAAUCUCCACAGGACAAUGCAGCAACAUAACUGGGAAUACACUUGCUAAAUGAGCCUCUUGCAUGCCUGUCUACCUCCUACUCUCUGAGCUAAAAAAGAGCUCAGCAACUGGGAUGAUUAUAUAUCUAUUUUUUAAAGCCACUCUGUAAGGUGGUAACGUGAAAUGAAAGAUAAUGCUUUUCUUUAACCGUUGUCAGGUUGGCAUACCAGAAGAUGAGAUUUUUCUUUUCAUCUCCUUUAAUUAAUUUUUCAAAAAUAGAUUCGAAAAAGAAUUAGA